rnacentral:rRNA from 1 species
CCUACGGGUGGCUGCAGUGGGGAAUAUUGCACAAUGGGCGCAAGCCUGAUGCAGCCAUGCCGCGUGUGUGAAGAAGGCCUUCGGGUUGUAAAGCACUUUCAGCGGGGAGGAAGGCGGUGAGGUUAAUAACCUCAUCGAUUGACGUUACCCGCAGAAGAAGCACCGGCUAACUCCGUGCCCGCAGCCGCGGUAAUACGGAGGGUGCAAGCGUUAAUCGGAAUUACUGGGCGUAAAGCGCACGCAGGCGGUCUGUCAAGUCGGAUGUGAAAUCCCCGGGCUCAACCUGGGAACUGCAUUCGAAACUGGCAGGCUAGAGUCUUGUAGAGGGGGGUAGAAUUCCAGGUGUAGCGGUGAAAUGCGUAGAGAUCUGGAGGAAUACCGGUGGCGAAGGCGGCCCCCUGGACAAAGACUGACGCUCAGGUGCGAAAGCGUGGGGAGCAAACAGGAUUAGAUACCCUAGUAGUC